rnacentral:misc_RNA from 1 species
GAUGAAGAACGCAGUGAAAUGCGAUAAGUAAUGUGAAUUGCAGAAUUCAGUGAAUCAUCGAAUCUUUGAACGCACAUUGCGCCCGUCAGUAUUCUGGCGGGCAUGCCUGUUCGAGCGUCAUUACGCCCCUCAAGUCCCCUGUGGACUUGGUGUUGGGGAUCGGCGAGGCUGGUUUUCCAGCACCGCCGUCCCUUAAAUUAAUUGGCGGUCUCGCCGUGGCCCUCCUCUGCGCAGUAGUAAAACACUCGCAACAGGAGCCCGGCGCGGUCCACUGCCGUAAAACCCCCCAACUUUUUAUAGUUGACCUCGAAUCAGGUAGGACUACCCGCUGAACUUAAGCAUAUCAAUAAGCGGAGGA